rnacentral:rRNA from 1 species
GACGAACGCUGGCGGCGUGCCUAAUACAUGCAAGUCGAGCGGGGAUUAUGCUUGAUCGCUUCGGUGAGACGGCAUAUAUCCUAGCGGCGGACGGGUGAGUAACGCGUGGGUAAUCUACCUCGUAGUUCGGGAUAACAGGCCGAAAGGCUUGCUAAUACCGGAUGAGUUCAUGCUUAUGCAUAUAGGCAUGAAGAAAGGGCUAGCCCGCUAUGAGAUGAGCCCGCGUCCCAUUAGCUUGUUGGUGGGGUAAUGGCCUACCAAGGCAACGAUGGGUAGCCGGCCUGAGAGGGUGUACGGCCACACUGGGACUGAGACACGGCCCAGACUCCUACGGGGGGCAGCAGUAGGGAAUUUUCGGCAAUGGGCGAAAGCCUGACCGAGCGACGCCGCGUGAGGGACGAAGGCCUUCGGGUUGUAAACCUCUGUCUGGGGGGAUGAGAACGGACGGUACCCCCCGGAGGAAGCCCCGGCUAACUACGUG